rnacentral:tRNA from 1 species
GGAGCUUGUGGUGUAAUGGUAGCAUAUCUGACUGUCGAUCAGAAGGCUGGAGUUCGAACCUCCCAGGUUCCG